rnacentral:lncRNA from 1 species
UGGCGUCGACGUAGUUUGUAAUCCCUCGUCGGUUCUUGUUUUAAGUCGUUGUUCACCGAACUUCUUUUGUCUUCCAUCUUGUUCGUUGCCGACGUAGUUUGGAGGUUCCCGAUCAUCGUCGUGUCGAUUUACCCUUAGGGAUUAGAGAUUUUUGAUAAGGGUUUUCUCUCUCGUCGAGAUGAGGUCCCUUGUGCCUUUGAUGUAGUUCAUUUUUCACUUAUCACCGGUGUAGUUCGUCGUUUUUUCUUUUCAUCUCUCCUUUUCUUCUAUGUUUGAGUGAGGGUCUUCCCUCUGCUCUUGACGGGGUCGUGAGAGUGUGGAGGAGUCAUUGAGGAAGCUUUCCUUCUUGUCGAUCAACCGAGUCUUUGUUUGCAUCGGGACGAGGUCCUCCCCUUAUUCCCGACAGUCGGUUUCAGCUCGUGUCA